GCUGUAGUCCCAGCUACUUUGGAGGCUAAGGUAGAAGAAUCACUUGAGCCCAGGAGUUUGGGCUAUAUAUAGUGCGUUAUGCCGAUGGGUGUCUGCACUAAGCUCUGCAUCAAUAUGGUGACCUCUGGGGAGUUGGGGACCACCAGGUUGUUUAAGGAGGGAUGAACCAGCCCAGGAUCAACAUGGAGGUCAAAACUCCUAUGCUGAUCAGCAGCGGGAUCACACCUAUGAAUAGCCGCUGCAUUCCAGCCUGGGCAACACAGUGACACCCUGUCUCU
rnacentral:SRP_RNA from 1 species